rnacentral:rRNA from 1 species
GACGAACGCUGGCGGCGUGCUUAACACAUGCAAGUCGAACGGAAAGGCCCUGCUUUUGUGGGGUGCUCGAGUGGCGAACGGGUGAGUAACACGUGGGUAACCUGCCCUUGACUUUGGGAUAACUUCAGGAAACUGGGGCUAAUACCGGAUAGGAGCUCCUGCUGCAUGGUGGGGGUUGGAAAGUUUCGGCGGUUGGGGAUGGACUCGCGGCUUAUCAGCUUGUUGGUGGGGUAGUGGCUUACCAAGGCUUUGACGGGUAGCCGGCCUGAGAGGGUGACCGGCCACAUUGGGACUGAGAUACGGCCCAGACUCCUACGGGAGGCAGCAGUGGGGAAUAUUGCACAAUGGGCGGAAGCCUGAUGCAGCAACGCCGCGUGCGGGAUGACGGCCUUCGGGUUGUAUACCGCUUUCGCCUGUGACGAAGCGUGAGUGACGGUAAUGGGUAAAGAAGCACCGGCUAACUACGUG